rnacentral:rRNA from 1 species
CCCUUAGAUGUCCUGGGCCGCACGCGUGCUACACUGAUGCAUACAGCGAGUACUUUCCAGCUCCGCGAGGCAGCUGGUAAUCAGCAAUAUGCAUCGUGCUGGGGAUAGAUCUUUGGAAUUAUAGAUCUUGAACGAGGAAUUCCUAGUAAGCGCAAGUCAUUAGCUUGCGCUGAUUAAGUCCCUGCCCUUUGUACACACCGCCCGUCGCUACUACCGAUUGGAUGGUUUAGCGAGAACUUUGGACCGGAGCUCGGGUGGUCAGCAAUGGCCGCCCGAGACAUACUGGGAAAUCGCUCCAGCUUGAUCAUCUAGAGGAAGUAAAAGUCGUAACA